rnacentral:rRNA from 1 species
GUGGGGAAUUUUGGACAAUGGGCGCAAGCCUGAUCCAGCAAUGCCGCGUGCAGGAAGAAGGCCUUCGGGUUGUAAACUGCUUUUGUACGGAACGAAACGGUCCUGGCUAAUACCCGGGGCUAAUGACGGUACCGUAAGAAUAAGCACCGGCUAACUACGUGCCAGCAGCCGCGGUAAUACGUAGGGUGCGAGCGUUAAUCGGAAUUACUGGGCGUAAAGCGUGGGCAGGCGGUGCUGUAAGACAGGCGUGAAAUCCCCGGGCUCAACCUGGGAAUUGCGCUUGUGACUGCAGUGCUGGAGUGCGGCAGAGGGGGAUGGAAUUCCGCGUGUAGCAGUGAAAUGCGUAGAUAUGCGGAGGAACACCGAUGGCGAAGGCAAUCCCCUGGGCCUGCACUGACGCUCAUGCACGAAAGCGUGGGGAGCAAACAGGAUUAGAUACCCUGGUAGUCC